AAAUUAAUUGUGUAUAGGUAGUGUUAGUUUCUCUCACAAAAUGUCUUACCACGGAAGACUUUACCAAAACAAGUUCUCCUCCGCCGUCCUCUUCCUCUGGUCCGUCUGAACGUUCGACGUACAAUACAUUUUUCAUUAGCAUUGAGUUAUGUGGCUCGAAAGACGACAUUCUCCGCUUGAAGCGAAAAGUCGCAACUCCAGAUAAAGUGAGCUCUCACCUCAAAAACGGUCGAAGCUCGAGAUUUAUGGUUAAUCCCAGAUAGUUUGGGUUGAGAAAGAAGGGUCUUUCUUAUUUUGAUUUAUGUACUAAGAUAUUCUCCGCUUCUGUAUCCACAUGCAAUAUUGCCCGUUCCUCCGCCAUGCCUCCUUUGGAGACCAAUGACGAUGAUGAACUUGAUGUCAAACAUCCUACAAUGGGCUUUUUAACUCAUUCUCAGUCGGGGCUGUGAAUCAAUAUUCAAGAGCAUCAAGAGGAGUGUAGCGAAAAAGGUGGGCAGAGUGGUUGUUCAAAUAAAAUUGAUUCUUGCAUUGAUGCCAUAACGGCUUGCAACGAGGCAAAAACUCGAAAGCUGGCAAAAAUUUCCAACGAUGAUAUCAAAGAUUGCAUGUUUGCACUUUCUAAAAUGGAGGGACUACCGCGGGAAUCGUUCUUUGCAGCACAAGAUCACUUUAUGUUAAAGGUUAGGUGUCAAAUGUUCCUUCUCAUGACUGAUGCGGAUAAACGUGCUUGGGUUGAGAGACUCGGCAAGUAACCUCUUUCCUACUGUCACUUGAUUUCUAAACCCAUGGCUUAGAAUGUUUUAUUAAAAAUGUAUUAACGUUAGAAAAUGUUUUUGUAACAUAUCGUAGUCGACUGUUGUACUUUUAUUCACUCUUUAUUGGUUAAGUUUGGUUAUAC